rnacentral:rRNA from 1 species
GAUGAACGCUGGCGGCGUGCUUAACACAUGCAAGUCGAGCGAGAAGUUUUGAAUAGAUUCUUCGAAUGAAAUUUAAAAUGGAAAGCGGCGGACGGGAGAGUAACGCGUAGGCAACCUGCCCCAUACAAAGGGAUAGCAUAUGGAGACGAAUAUUAAUACCUUAUGAAACUUAACUAGUGCAUGCUAGGUAGGUCAAAGAUUUAUCGGUCUGGGAUGGGCCUGCGUCUGAUUAGCUCGUUGGUGAGGUAACGGCUCACCAAGGCGACGAUCAGUAGCCCGCCUGGGAGGGUGGACCGGCAAAUUGGGAACUGGGCACCGGCCAAAACCCCUACGGGAGGCAGCGGGGGGGAAAUUGGCAAAAGGGGGGAAACCUUAAGGAACCACGGCGGGUGAAGGGAUGACGGCUUUCGGUCGGAAAAUCCCGGUCUACAGGGUGAAUAAUGACGGUACCUGAGGAGAAAGCCACGGCUAACUACGUG